rnacentral:rRNA from 1 species
GAUGAACGCUGGCGGCGUGCCUAAUACAUGCAAGUCGAGCGAACAGACGAGGAGCUUGCACCUCUGACGUUAGCGGCGGACGGGUGAGUAACACGUGGAUAACCUACCUAUAAGACUGGGAUAACUUCGGGAAACCGGAGCUAAUACCGGAUAAUAUAUUGAACCGCAAGGUUCAAUAGUGAAAGAGGGUUUUGCUGUCACUUAUAGGGUGAUGCGCGCCGCAUUAGCUAGUUGGUAAGGUAACGGCUUAGCAAGGCAACGAUGCGUAACCGACCUGAGGGGGUGAUCGGCCACACUGGAACUGAGACACGGUCCAGACUCCGACGGGAGGCAGCAGUAGGGAAUCUUCCGCAAUGGGCGAAAGCCUGACGGAGCAACGCCGCGUGAGUGAUGAAGGUCUACGGAUCGUAAACCAUUGUUAUUAGGGAAGAACAAAUGUGUAAUUACCUAUGCACGUCUUGACGGUACCUAACCAGAAAGCCACGGCUAACUACGUG